UAUCCGCCCGGGAACUACGAGCACCAGCUUAAAACCCAAAGGACUUGGCGGUGCUUUAGAUCCUACUAGAGGAGCCUGUUCUAGAACCGAUAACCCCCGUUCAACCUCACCUUUCCUUGUUUUUCCCGCCUAUAUACCGCCGUCGUCAGCCCACCCUAUGAGGGACUAAAAGUAGGCUAAAUUGGCACAGCCCAGAACGUCAGGCCGAGGUGUAGCGUAUGGAAGGGGAAGAAAUGGGCUACAUUCCCUAUGUUAGGGCACACGAAUGGUGUGCUGAAACGCACAUCUUGAAGGAGGAUUUAGCAGUAA
rnacentral:rRNA from 1 species